GUUUUGACAAUAAGAGAUGAGGUGUAAAGGUGUCUCGUGUUUAACAGAGGUGCAGCUUAAUUAUUAUUGAGUGAGUGCUCAGAGAAGGUGAAAAGCCUGUGUAGCUGUGCUACUUUGUUGAACUGUGACACUGAGGAGUCUAGUUGUUUGAGAGUACAACUUAAAGCUGGUGGUAAAUUUCAUCAAAGGCUAAAUAUAUGAAGGGACUAAUAGCGAACAAGUACCAUGAGGGAAAGUUGAAAAGAACUCUGACGAGAGAGUUCAAUAGUACGUGAAACCAUAUUGAGUAAAACAGAUAACUGUGCUGUUAUGUGGUGUGCCUAUCAACAGUAUGUUUGGUGUUGUGAUGCCUUGAGUGUAGGUUGUCUAUUCAACUGAUUGCUCGAAGCUGGCAUAACCAGAGACUCUGUGCAAUAAUGCACACUCGAUCAUUGAGAAACUAUGCUGCUGCGGCAUCGGUGUGCAACAGCCCGUACCUAGUGCGCGGUUGUACGCUGGGUGAGCUAGCUGGCGUAGUUUAGCUGUGAGACAGCUGUGGGCUGCGUUUAUGAUAGGUUCGUGCUGUAUCUGCGAAUUGGUUUAUUCCUUUUUGCGGUGGGCAUGUUAUCGUUAGUAAGCGCCCCGUCAUCAAUGUUUAGCAUUAGUUAUUUGACCCGUCUUGAAACACGGACCAAGGAGUUCAAAUGGCACGCGAGUCAUUGGGUUCUGACACCCGAAGGCGAAGUGAAAUGCAAAUGUAUUGUUAUUUGUGGUUGUUCCAUAAUUAAGCGAUAAGCUACUCAUGCUUUCUGGCAUUUGUAGACUACAAGCGUGAUGUUUGAGACCCGAAAGAUGGUGACCUAUGCCUAGUCAAGAUGAAGCCAGAGGAAACUCUGGUGGAUGUCUGAAGUUAUUCUGACGUGCAAAUCGAUAAUCUGAUCUGGGUAUAGGGGCGAAAGACUAAUCGAACCAUCUAGUAGCUGGUUCCUUCCGAAGUUUCCCUCAGGAUAGCAAGCGUACGUUUUUAGUUUCAUCCCGUAAAGCGAAUGAUUAGAGGCAUUGGGGCGUAUAUAGCCUCAACCUAUUCUCAAACUUUUAAUGGGUGUGAGUGUUUUUUCUCAAUUGAAGAACGCUGCUAAAUAAGUAUGCUUAGUGGGCCAUUUUUGGUAAGCAGAACUGGCGCUGUGGGUUGAACCAAUUGUUGAGUUAAAGUGCCUAAAGCUGGAAUGCGUAUGAGAUCUAUAAAGGGUGUUAGUUGCUGAAGACAGCAGG
rnacentral:rRNA from 1 species